GUGCUGUUUAGCCGAGUGGGACUCGCAGUAGGCCCCAGGCCAGCCGCCUUCGGUUGGACGUUAAUGAACGGAGCAGGAAUGGGCACAUCUGAUGAAGCUGGCCAUGCUGUCAACUGAUUUUCAUCUGGUAAGGGCUCAACAGACAGGUUGUUUCAACUCGCGUGAAGGAGAAAGAAGUGGCCGGCAUUUGUGGAUGGGAGAAAAAGAGGCUUUUGAUGAAUUGUCUGUGAAAGUGCAUCAGUCUACCCACAUCUUCAAAACCCCCCGAUGCCUCUUGUCUGCUUUCAGACUCAUUUUUCUCCACAUUGUUGGUAAUUUGAGCAUUCUCGCCCAUGGCAUCAUUCAUAGUUGGCCCAUUUAAAUCCCCUUAGAAAUUCAAUUUGGAGAAAGGAAAUGACAAGAUUUAGCUUAUUGAGGUAUGCC
ensembl:lncRNA